rnacentral:tRNA from 1 species
GCCGGGGUGGCGGAAUUGGUAGACGCGACGGACUUAAAAUCCGUUGGGGCAACUCAUGCGGGUUCGAUUCCCGCCCCCGGUA